GCCAGGUGUGGUGGUGCACGCCUGUAAUCCCAGCUACUCCGGAGGCUGAGACAGGAGAAUCACUUGAACCCAGGAGGUGGAGGCCACAGUGAGCAGAGAUCGCGCCACUGCACUCCAGCCUGGGCAACAGAGUGAGACUCUGUCUCAG
ensembl:misc_RNA Metazoa_SRP Metazoan signal recognition particle RNA